GCGGGGACGAAGAACCUGACGCGUGGGUCCCACGCGUCAGUGGCUCGGGCGCACGCGGUGCGGUUGGGCCGGCUCGGUCCGGUUCGGCCCAAAACGGCCGGGCCGGUCCAGUUUUCUUCUUCUUUUUUUCUUUUAGCCUUUUCUUUUUCUCCUUUUCUCAUUUCUUUGAUAUCUUUUGAUUUUGAACUCCAAAUUGGUCCAAAUAAAUUCCAGAAUUUUUUUCAAAUCAUGUUUUAUCAUGAUUCAACUUUUGGGAGUAAUUUCCCCUCAAAAUAAAAUAUAUAAAAAUACAUUUGCCCUAUAAAUGCCUUUAGGGCUAUAUAAUUAUUUAAAUAAAAAUAGUUUUUCAACUCCAAAUAAUUUUCCAAAAAUUAUGGGAUAGCUCAUUUAUGCAAUAAACCCCUUUUAUAAAUAAACCCUAUUGGUUUGAAGAUCCAAAGCUCAAAUGGGUGAAAACCCUAGGGUUUAAAUUGAAAUAACAUCUUUUUUAAAGCCUUUUGAGAUUCAAAUUUGAAUUCAAAUAUGCAAUUGUGACAUGAUGCUCAUGAAUGCAAUGCACAUGUAAGAAUUUGAAAUUUUGGGAUGUUACACUAAGAUGGUUUGCUAAUUUUUGAAUUUUAAAUUCACUUAAAUUUGCUUGUUUUUCACAUUUCUGAUGUCAAACGUGUGCAAUACUCAUCCCAAAAGAUUUAGGCAUCUUUGUGAGUGCACCAAAAGUGGACUCAGAAGUAUGAGAUUUUCUGGACUUGAGAUCCUAUAUUUUCGUACAUUCUUUGAAUUUCUGGGUUUAUUUAUGAAAAAGAGAUAAACCCAUGGAAUUCAACAGAAAUGAUUAGACAACCAAUGAAGAAAAGUUAUGUCUGGACCAUACAAGUCGAGCAAAAUUGGAUUCCAUCCGGUUCAGUCCAAUUUCAAACCUAUUUGUGUAUGAAAAAAGGGAAUUUCAGCACACAAAAAUGGCUGCAUUUGGAAGAAACCCCCAAAAUUCGACCUUAUGCAAAUUAAUUUCUGAUUGCACCAAAAGAAAGUACAUCAAAAGUUAAGAACACUGGUGAAUUGCGAACCUAUUUGAGAAAGUUGACUUCGCGUUGACCAUGAUUUAAAUCCAGUCAAAUCCAUUCAAAGUAAAGAGUUUUUUUUUGAACUUUUCUUGGAGGAGUCAAGUACUAACAAUGUUUGCAUACUUCCAAUAGCUGUUCCACAACUUCAAAUCAUGUAUUUUGUAUCAUUUGGGCCCC
rnacentral:lncRNA from 1 species